GGCUUUGUGGUCUAGAGGUAUGAUUUCCGCUUAGGGUGCGGGAGGUCCCGGGUUCGAUUCCCGGCAAAGCCC
rnacentral:tRNA from 3 species